UAAGAACACGUCGUGAAUCUGACGUUGAAUUUUCUUAGGAAAUUUCUCAAGAACAAAUUUAAGAAAAAACUUAGGAAGAUAUUGGUGAAUGAGGCCCAAUGCUCUAAAGCAGAAAUACACCGUUUGACUUCCCGAGCUAGCUACACGACUCUGAGCAGAAGACAAGAGAAUCUGAGCCCUCCUGCAGCAGCCUAGGCUCUGUUCGUUGGCAACAGCAGAAUGCCCGUGCCCACUCGCUCCACACCUCCAGCGAUGACAUGAGCUGCUUCCUCACCUGGGAGCUCAGGUGCAAUAUUCCUGAGUGCGUCUCACUCUCAACCAGGACCAACUGGUGUUUCUGUCUACGAGUGAGUGCGAGCUUGCUCGCCCUGGAGAGAUCUCUGUCGCAUGACUGCAAAACUUCCUUCUAAAAGGACAUCAAGACGGCUCUCCGCUGCCCUUGUAAUUGGCCUGAUGGAUAGCGGCUGGGUAUCGGACCCACCCCUCGUCCGGGACACGAAACAGAAGAUGAUCAAUUCAUCAAUCAAGGGGAAACAUCAAUCAAUCAAUGAAUGCGGGGGGAAGCAGCCAGCAUACGGCCUGGCAUUUUAGAGUAACGUCAUCACCAGCUCCCGAUAAGCAUGUCUGCCGUAUACAUAGGUUCCAUAGUGUCAUAUGACCACACUAAACUAUGUAUAUUUACACAGUAAAAACAGUCCAACACAGCCUCGUUACAUAUGCACCUAAGAUACUCAAUAAAACUUUUAUAAAUCAGUCAAGCAUUGACUGAUUCUGAUUCUAAUCCUAUUCGAACAGGCCUCUUGCAGUAAUGUAAGACCCAGCUUUUCCUUGUAGAUAUUUAUGAUGUCAUAAUUUGAGGCGCUGCCAAAUGAAAAUGAAAUGGCUGAGGGUGAGGUUUUUGCAUGUGAUUGCAUAAGUCACUCGUGAUGAUGUUAAUUUAAAAAAUGAAAUGUUCCAUUUCAGUUUUGUUUUUCUUAUGCUGUGAACCAGGAGCUUCUGCCGAAUAAAUGCAUAACCAGUAUACCACAUUAAAUCCGAUGACACCAAGUCUAUGCUCAGGAGCCUGUUGCAUAUGCAAUUUUUAACAUACUGUAUUCAUUUGCAUAUAGUUUUAUGUGACAUUUAAAGAAGAAAUAAGAAAUAUUCCUAGGCAUAAAAUGGUAUUUUCCUUUUUUUUCAUAGAGAAUUAUUCAAGACACUUUAAAACAACUUUUUCCAUAAUUUCUAUUCUUUAUUCAACAAUUAGAAAUGUUUUAUUACAAGUGUAAGCUUGUCCCAUCACUUGAGUGAGAAGGAUACCAUGUGUGACCGCCCACCACUUCUUCCCAGCGAUCGUUGUGUCAGCGUUAGUGACCAAUGUUCUGUCAGCUGUCAAUAUGAUGUCAUUGUUCCAUUGGUGCACAGUGAUACAUCAGUAUUCAGUGUUCCAUCAGUGUUCAGUGCUGUCCUCAGCUUGAAGGACACUCUUGGAGAUUUACUGGGCCGAACACUUGAGAUGUUUCACCAAGGGAGAUGGACUUCCCGUUUAUCCGCAGGUUGCGUAUGCAGCCAAUUAAAGACGACUUGACUGGAAGUUUGUGGUAUUGCAAGGUGUCUGGACAAGGGGAUACAAGUAUUUUAAAAGCACGUUUUGUGUUUUUACAUGAAAGUUAACCUGUAUCUCCCAGAAUAAGGCACAAAAUUUUAUUUAUUUUCAACUGUGUGGCAUUGAAAUGGUUUGUCUGGGCGCACUCUCUCCAUGUAAAAAAUUAUGGUGAAAACCCAGAACUGCUGCAUCUCGUUCCCAGGGUGUUACAGAGUAUGUGGCAAUCUGCCAGUAAAUAACAAUACCAUUUAUUUUGAGAAUUAUAAUUAUUCAUUGUAAUCACGGACAGUUUGCCACUUCACGUUUGCUUCAGGGCUAUAGCCUUUUCAUGCAGUAAAUGUCUCUUAGAGAGAGUCUGGAAGUGUGUUGAAAUGACAAGUGGCUCAUUCUAACAGCUCAAUGAUCUCUUAGCCAAGGUAAUUUAAGCACUGUAACAGUGACGGUCCAUCACUAAUUCACAGUGAAUGGUCUAUGGCUUCUUACUGUAUAUCUCAGAUCUGUAUUUGUGCAAUCUGUAUAUGCAGUGCCUUAAAGCUUAUCAUAGCCUUCCAGAAACAAACCAAUUUGCCAGAAGCAGACGUGGAAAAUCCAGGUUCAUAAAGUAAGUCCUCCCCAGUAUUUUGCUCCAAGCAUCAGGAUUUACUACUGAGUGCAAUUCUUUAGCCAUGAGGUAGAACUAAUGAGUGAAAUCAGCUGGCUGAGUUCAUGGGAGAAACACAUAGCAGGGCUUUUACUUUCUGACCCUUGGGUAAUCCACCUCUGGCCAGAAAAUGAUCUGGAGCCAGUGAGAUGUGUGACAAUACCUGGAACACCACCGGCAUAGAGAUGACAUUCAUUGGUUGUGCCAGAGAAGGAGGAAACUCUUGUGCUCCCAGACUUCUGGUCCACUGUGAGCUGAACCCCAGUCUUCUUUCUGGAAACUUAAAAAAUCAUACAGUGCAUUUAGAUCUGAGAAGACCUUAUGGGCUGUUCUCUGAAAACAUAUUAUGGAAUUCUGGGUGGCUUGCCAUGCAUUUGUCACUUAAUAUGGGUGCAUAAAUGAAAUUUAUUUAAACAUUUCUUUUUCUGAAAAUGGUUGUACUGUAAUAAUCUGUAAAUGAACCCUAGGGAGAAUGUAUCGGUGUCCCAAAGCAAAAGAACUCAAGGCCUUUCAGAAGGUUGUGCUGUAAAUGCUUAGUAAGACUGAACACUGUCUCUUGGUUUUAAUUUUGUUAUGAGACAUUUGGCACAUUAUGUAUUAACUGCUGAAAUCCACAAUAUCUUUUAUAAGGGAGACCUGAACAAGAAGGCUGCCACGCAAAAUUACAGAUGAUAUAAAAAGUGAAAUAAAACAUAUUAUAUAUUCGAAGCAAGUGUGCAAGUAAGCACAUGAGAGAGGGUGUGAGAGAGCAAGAGAAAAACAGGAACAAAAGUACAAUCAAAAGCAAUGAUAAUUUCCUAUUGAAUUUGCUACCAUUGCCCUAAUAACUGAUUUGAACUCACUGAGAAGAAUUAGUGCCUUAAGCUUCAAAUCUUUCUGCAGGCUAUUCCAUGCAGGGGGGUGGGGUGGGGGGAGGGGCAGAGAUCAUAAAAUCUUUCUUGUCCAUCUCCAUCCAAGCUUUGGGGACAGUUGGCAGAAGGGGACCUUGGGACCUCAGGCUAUGUUCUCCUUCAAGUUUAUGAGUAAAGUAGAUAUAUAAAUAAUAAGAAAGCUCUCCCAGAAUAAUCUAAAUAGGUUCCAGUGGCUGAGCUCCCACAUGAACAGUGAUGGCUAACCAGCCCUGGAACACAGUGUGCAAUGACACGUUGGAUUCACCUGCUGCACCACUCACCUGGAGCACAACCUACAAGAGAAAAGGACAUACUGGCAUCAGUGGUGCUGGUGGGUACCAUAGCGUUUUGGGCAAGAGUAGUGAGUCAGUCAUGCUUCGUUUUGUCAAUGGUGACCAUCAGCAUGGUGGGGGAGGUAGGUAUGGAUGCAGCCCCAGUCAUUUGUGGAUAUGAACAGAGAUGGAUACAAUAUUUAGGGCAGAACAAAAGGCUUAAGCCUUUCUAAGAGGAUCAGUAUUCCUCUAAGAGGCUCAGUAUUCCUUCAAUACACAGCAGGAUUAAUCAUAAGAACGUUGAUUUGAGCCAGUGGUCUUGGUUUGCUUUCCUCCCAUUUGGAAAACUAGUGACAGCCAUGCUUUGAACUGAGAUAGCAUAUGCAAUAAACAGCAGCAGUUGAUUCAUCCGCUCAAUCAGUGCACAAGUCAUUUGUUGUUAUAUGUGCAAGAAGUGGACAGCAGGUAAUACUCGUCCUGCAAUUAGGUGUCAACAAAGGAGGGGUUACCAAUGA